UACAGCGGCGUACGGGUGAGUAACACGUGGAUGAUCUACCUUCUAGUGGGGGAUAAACCCUGGGAAACCGGGGCUAAUACCGCAUAAGCCUGUGAAGGGAAAGCAGCAAUGCGCUGGAAGAGGAGUCCGCGGCCGAUUAGCUGGUUGGUGGGGUAACGGCCUACCAAGGCGACGAUCGGUAGCUGGUCUGAGAGGAUGGUCAGCCACACUGGGACUGAGACACGGCCCAG
rnacentral:rRNA from 1 species